UACGUAGGGUGCGAGCGUUAAUCGGAAUUACUGGGCGUAAAGCGUGCGCAGGCGGUUCGUUAAGUUCGAUGUGAAAGCCCCGGGCUCAACCUGGGAACGGCAUUUGAAACUGGCGGGCUGGAGUGUGGCAGAGGGGGGUGGAAUUCCGCGUGUAGCAGUGAAAUGCGUAGAGAUGCGGAGGAACACCGAUGGCGAAGGCAGCCCCCUGGGCCAACACUGACGCUCAGGCACGAAAGCGUGGGGAGCAAACAGG
rnacentral:rRNA from 1 species